rnacentral:rRNA from 1 species
CUACGGAGGGUGCAAGCGUUACUCGGAAUCACUGGGCGUAAAGCGCAUGCAGGCGGUCUAAUAAGUUGGAAGUGAAAGCCUAUGGCUCAACCAUAGAACUGCUUCCAAAACUGUUAGACUAGAGUCUGAGAGGGGAAGAUGGAAUUAGUAGUGUAGGGGUAAAAUCCGUAGAGAUUACUAGGAAUACCAAAAGCGAAGGCGAUCUUCUGGAACAGUACUGACGCUGAGAUGCGAAAGCGUGGGGAGCAAACAGGAUUAGAAACCCCAGUAGUCC